rnacentral:lncRNA from 1 species
UCCUUAUCAAUUUUGCAUUUGAUGCUACAAAAGGCUGCGGCGGCCGCGCAGGAAGACAACCAUGUAUUCCAAUAACAACAAAGAAUGCAAAAACAAAUAAAAAUCGAAUGCCUCAAAAUUUCUUCGAAUAACAAAAUGAAAAGUUGAUCAACCUUUUUAUAAUUUCUUAUGAAUCAAAACCCCAAUCUCGAUCUUUGAUCUACUUUGUGUUCCUGCUUAAUCUCACUCUCGAUCUCACACCUCUCUCGAUCUCUAGUGUGUAUAAGACUAGAAAGAAAGCAUAACAAGACGCACAAGAUUGUUUACCCAGUUCGGGAUUGGAUGUGAAUCCGCCGGGGCUUGACAGUUAAUGGUUAAUAUGAUUGUUUAAUUUAUUUAUUUUAAUAUAAAAUAUAUGAAAAUUAAGUAUAUGGCUCUUUUCCUCGCUGAGUUGAAAGCCGCCUUUGUACCACCACCGUUAAGGUUUGGCAGCUGUUGAGGUAUUGGGAGGCCAGACGGUUCAUAUCUGAAGCAUGUCCCACUACCUACGUCGCGUCUCAUCACCGAUUAACUUCCACCACCACGCUACAAGUUCGAAGAAACCCGAACCGCCGUGGAUCUACAGAAGAGACACUCGGAAGGCUUGGAUCUGACCCCACCAUUAUGAUUCGUAAAGUCGGAGACUACCGGUGUCCCGCUACACCUAUGCCACCUUAUGAAAUUUUUUUUUUUGUGUUUUCUGAAUUGAC